rnacentral:rRNA from 1 species
ACAUGCAGUCGAGCGGACAGAAGGGAGCUUGCUCCCGGAUGUUAGCGGCGGACGGGUGAGUAACACGUGGGUAACCUGCCUGUAAGACUGGGAUAACUCCGGGAAACCGGAGCUAAUACCGGAUAGUUCCUUGAACCGCAUGGUUCAAGGAUGAAAGACGGUUUCGGCUGUCACUUACAGAUGGACCCGCGGCGCAUUAGCUAGUUGGUGAGGUAACGGCUCACCAAGGCGACGAUGCGUAGCCGACCUGAGAGGGUGAUCGGCCACACUGGGACUGAGACACGGCCCAGACUCCUACGGGAGGCAGCAGUAGGGAAUCUACCGCAAUGGACGAAAGUCUGACGGAGCAACGCACGCGUGAGUGAUGAAGGUUUUCGGAUCGUAAAGCUCUGUUGCAGGGAAGAACAAGUGCAAGAGUAACUGCUUGCACCUUGACGGUACCUAACCAGAAAGCCACGGCUAACUACGUGCCAGCAGCCGCGGUAAUACGUAGGUGGCAAGCGUUGUCGGAAUUGUUGGGCGUGUAAAGGGCUCGCAGGCGGUUUCUUAAGUCUGAUGUGAAAGCCCCCGGCUCAACCGGGAGGUCAUUGGAAACUGGGAAACUUGAUGGCAGAAGAGGAGAGUGGAAUUCCCACGUGUAGCGGUGAAAUGCGUAGAGAUGUGGAGGAACACCAGUGGCGAAGGCUGACUCUCUGGUCUGUAAUGACGCGAGGAGUCGAAAGCGUGGGGAGCGAACAGGAUUAGUACCCUGGUAGUCCACGCCGUAAACGAUGAGUGCUAAGUGUUAGGGGGUUUCCGCCCUUAGUGCAGCACUAACCAUUAAGACAAUCGCCCUGGGGAGUACGGUCGCAAGACUGAAACUCAAAGGAAUUGACGGGGGCCCGCACAAGCGGUGGAGCAUGUGGUUUAAUUCGAAGCAACGCGAAGAACGUUACCAGGUCUUGACAUCCUCUAACAACCCUAGAGAUAGGGCUUUCCCUUCGGGGACAGAGUGACAGGUGGUGCAUGGUUGUCGCCCUCAGCUCGUCUCGUGAGAUGUUGGGUCAAGUGCCCUACUCGCGCAACCGGCGAUGUUCGUUGCCAGCAUUCAGUUGGGCAUUUAAGGGUGACUGCCGGUGACAAACAGGAGGAAGGGGGGGAUGACGUCAUCAUCAUGCCCCUUAUGACCUGGGCUACACACGUGCUACAAUGGACAGAACAAAGGGCUGCGAGACCGCAAGGUUUAGCCAAUCCCACAAAUCUGUUGCUAGUUCGAUCGCAGUUUGCAACUUGACCCUUGGGUUCAAAAUAGUAUCUAAUAUUAGAUCAGCAUCCGCGAGGAUCCCUUUCUUACAGGCAGGCACCCCACCUGUCACAACCCGUGAGCCGCUACCCUCCGAGGAUGCGAUGCUGCUAAUCCUGUCCGCAGGAGCGGCACGACGCAACGAACGUUAUUUG